rnacentral:piRNA from 1 species
UCAAAAUUGGAGCAUGUCGUCAUGG